AGUGAAUAGAUACCCGGGUAGUCCCAGCUGUAAACGAUGCGCGUUAGGUGUAUCGGUGACCACGAGUCACCGAGGUGCCGAAAGGGAAACCGUGAAACGUGCCGCCUGGGAAGUACGGUCGCAAGGCUGAAACUUAAAGGAAUUGGCGGGGAGCACCACAACGGUGGAGCCUGCGGUUAAUCGGACUCAACGCCGGGAAACUACACCGGACAAGACAGCUGAAUGAUAGCCGGGCUGAAGACUCUGCUUGACUAGCUGAGAGGAGGUGCAUGGCCGUCGUCAGUUCGUACUGUGAAGCAUCCUGUUAAGUCAGGCAACGAGCGAGACCCACGCCAACAGUUGCCAGCUCGUCCUCCGGGACGGUGGGGACACUGUUGGGACCGCCUCUGCUAAAGAGGAGGAAGGAAUGGGCAACGGUAGGUCAGCAUGCCCCGGAAUUGUCCGGGCUACACGCGGGCUACAAUGGGUGGGACAAUGGGUAUCGACACCGAAAGGUGAAGGCAAUCUCCUAAACCCGACUCUUAGUUCGGAUUGUGGGCUGCAACUCGCCC
rnacentral:rRNA from 1 species